rnacentral:rRNA from 1 species
CACCCCGGGUUCCAGCGCCAUCACUGAUCGCCGUACUAACGAGGCCUGUGGCCGCUUAACUUCACAAAUCGGAC